CCUACGGGAGGCAGCAGUGGGGAAUUUUGGACAAUGGGGGCAACCCUGAUCCAGCCAUUCCGCGUGAGUGAAGAAGGCCUUCGGGUUGUAAAGCUCUUUCGCAAGGGAAGAAAACUUAUGAUCGAAUAAAUCAUGAGGUUGACGGUACCUUGAUAAGAAGCACCGGCUAACUACGUGCCAGCAGCCGCGGUAAUACGUAGGGUGCGAGCGUUAAUCGGAAUUACUGGGCGUAAAGCGUGCGCAGGCGGUUUUGUAAGUCGGAUGUGAAAUCCCCGGGCUCAACCUGGGAACUGCGUUCGAAACUGCAAGGCUAGAGUGUGUCAGAGGGGGGUAGAAUUCCACGUGUAGCAGUGAAAUGCGUAGAGAUGUGGAGGAAUACCGAAUGGCGAAGGCAGCCCCCUGGGAUAACACUGACGCUCAUGCACGAAAGCGUGGGGAGCGAAACAGGAUUAGAUACCCUGGUAGUCCACGCCCUAAACGAUAGUCAACUAGUUGUUGGUAGUAGUAAAUCUAUGAGUAACCGUAGUACUACGCGUGAGUAGUACGCCGUGGAGGUACGGUCGCGAAGUAGUAAACGUUACAAGUAGUUAGUUAGUAGNGNGAGAGNGCGACGGACGACGACGAGGAGGAGG
rnacentral:rRNA from 1 species